AUUGAACGCUGGCGGCAGGCCUAACACAUGCAAGUCGAACGAGUGGCGGACGGGUGAGUAACGUGUGGGCAACUGCCCGAUGGGGGGGGAUAACUACUGGAAACGGUAGCUAAUACCGCAUACCCUCGGAUGUGGCCAGAUGGGAUUGGGUAGUGGGUGGGGUAACGGCUCACCUAGGCGACGAUCCCUAGCUGGUCCGAGAGUCUGACCAGCCACACUGGAACGGAGACACGGUCAAGACUCCAACGGGAGGCAGCAGGGGGGAAUAUUGCACAAUGGGCGAAAGCCGGAUGCAGCCAGGCCGCGUGUAGGAAGAAGGCCUUCGGGUUGUAAAGUACUUUCAGCGAGGAGGCGUUACUCGCAGAAGAAGCACCGGCUAACUCCGUGCCAGCAGCCGCGGUAAUUC
rnacentral:rRNA from 1 species